rnacentral:lncRNA from 1 species
AAUUAUGUGUGCCAAAUUCUGAAAUUUGAUAUAAAUUUUUGAGUUGAUCAUUUUCAUUGUUACAAAUUGCUCCCCCUUAGAUGUAUAAGCUUUCUUAUAUGAUUUUCAAUUUGUUUGCCCAUUUAUUUCUCUUUUCUUUACAUGCUCUAAACACUAUCUUUACUUCUCCCCCUUUUUGUUAUACAUAUCUUUACUUCUCAAAUAAAAUACUCUUUCUUUACUUCUCCCCCUUUAUAUACUCUUUUCUUCUCUUCUCCUUUAUAUACUCUUUCCUUCUCUUCUCCCCCUUUUUGUUAUCAUCAAAAACAUAUAUAUGGGAAAAGAUGCAAUUAAGAACAAACUUCAGACUUCAUUGAUCACAAUAGGAACAUUUUCAUACAUUAAUGCCCAAAAUAAAGAUAAGUACAAUGUUCCUCAAUCAAGAUUUAAAGAUAUAAGGGAAAAGCAAGAUACAUAUGAGAAAAAGAUUUCUAGCCUAGGCUCUAAAUAUAGAUGCUAAGAUCAGCCUAGGGAGACUCUAAUUGAGAGUGGAAAAUAGGGUUUUCGGAAGAGGAC